rnacentral:rRNA from 1 species
UACGUAGGUGGCAAGCGUUGUCCGGAUUUACUGGGCGUAAAGAGCGCGCAGGCGGUCGUUCAAGUCGCGUGUGAAAGCCCCCGGCUCAACUGGGGAGGGUCACGCGAUACUGAUCGACUCGAAGGCAGGAGAGGGAAGUGGAAUUCCCGGUGUAGUGGUGAAAUGCGUAGAUAUCGGGAGGAACACCAGUGGCGAAGGCGACUUCCUGGCCUGUUCUUGACGCUGAGGAGCGAAAGCGUGGGGAGCAAACAGG